AAGAAAUUAGUUAAAUAAAAUAACAUUAGACUGUCAAACUAAAAUUAUCAUAUGAUAUUUCUUU
rnacentral:tRNA from 1 species